rnacentral:rRNA from 1 species
UAAGUAAGCGGAGGAUAAGAAACUAAAUAGGAUUCCCUCAGUAAUGGCGAAUGAACAGGGAUAAGCUCAGCAUGGAAAUUGGGGCCUGUGGCCUUGAAUUGUAGUCUGGAGAUGUACUGCCAACGGAGGCGCAGAUGUAAGCCUCUUGGAAAAGAGCAUCAACGAGGGUGAGAGUCCCGUUUGUCAUCUGCAGUCCCCCGUGCACGGCGUACCUUCUAAGAGUCACGUUCCUCGGGAUUGGAGCGCAAAGUGGGUGGUAAAUUUCAUCUAAAGCUAAAUAUUGGUUCGAGACCGAUAGCAAACAAGUACCAUGAGGGAAAGGUGAAAAGGACUUUGAAAAGAGAGUUAAAAGUGCCUGAAAUUGCUGAAAGGGAAGCGAACGGAACCAGUGUGUCUUGGCGAGAUUGUUGCAUGCUAAUGUGAUGAUCUGCUGCUUCAGCGCAAGCGUGGCAGUAGGUUUUGAUCAGGACGUGUGCAGUGCUUCUUGCCUUGUGUGUCAUCUUCGGUUCGCAUUUGAAGAAAACUCCAAGGACAUGGUAGCAUGCCCCCGGGUGUGUGAAUGUGUUUGGCUGAAUUCAUYUGCGUACUGCUUGCUGACUAAAUGGUUCCCUUCG